rnacentral:rRNA from 1 species
GAUGAACGCUGGCGGCGUGCCUAAUACAUGCAAGUCGAGCGAACAGACGAGGGGCUUGCUCCUCUGACGUUAGCGGCGGACGGGUGAGUAACACGUGGAUAGCCUACCUAUAAGACUGGGAUAACUUCGGGAAACCGGAGCUAAUACCGGAUAAUAUAUUGAACCGCAUGGUUCAAUAGUGAAAGACGGUUUUGCUGUCACUUAUAGAUGGAUCCGCGCCGCAUUAGCUAGUUGGUAAGGUAACGGCUUACCAAGGCGACGAUGCGUAGCCGACCUGAGAGGGUGAUCGGCCACACUGGAACUGAGACACGGUCCAGACUCCUACGGGAGGCAGCAGUAGGGAAUCUUCCGCAAUGGGCGAAAGCCUGACGGAGCAACGCCGCGUGAGUGAUGAAGGUCUUCGGAUCGUAAAACUCUGUUAUUAGGGAAGAACAAAUGUGUAAGUAACUAUGCACGUCUUGACGGUACCUAAUCAGAAAGCCACGGCUAACUACGUG